rnacentral:rRNA from 1 species
CCUUCGAUGUCGGCUCUUCCUAUCAUUGUGAAGCAGAAUUCACAAAGUGUCGGAUUGUUCACCCGCUAACAGGGAACGUGAGCUGGGUUUAGACCGUCGUGAGACAGGUUAGUUUUACCCUACUGUCGUCAUGCAUCUUCACAGAAGAUAAAAUUUAGUACGAGAGGAACUGUUUUAUCAAAUCUCUUAUGCAACCUUUAGUUUGUAAAAAACUGUGAACCGGGUUCUUACAUUUGUCAAAAUACGACUGAACGCCUCUAAGUCGGAAUUUAAUCUGAUCGGAUGCAACAUUAGGAUAUUUCUUUAAGAAAUAAAAGUAAAUCAGGAAUGAAUUAUCGAUAGGAUUAUGUUAGAUUGCCACAAUCCAUGUAUGAUCGUUUACGAGUAGUGCAUGGACACGGGGUGAGACUAUAUAUCCACAAUUUAAUAAAAAGUUCGAGAUCAUUUUCUAGAUCUGCACAAGACGAGUGCGGUUCAAUGAUUGGUGGGGGUUUUUUCGGGAGCUCUUGUUUCAUCGGUUAUGACGUGGUU